rfam:Candidatus Rokubacteria bacterium 13_1_40CM_2_68_8 13_1_40cm_2_scaffold_1927, whole genome shotgun sequence.
AUGUCCCUGCGCUGUUUGUGAUGCCGGGGGGAAGUUUCAACCUCGUAAUCAAAUUGGGAGCUGUGGCAGAGGGUUGUGCGCAAGCCCCUCUCGAAGGGGAAGCCUAAAGCCCUCCAAUUAACGGCGCCCACCUGGUGAUACCAGGUUCGAAACACCGUCGGCACACGGCAGAGGCGGGGAUUUG